rnacentral:misc_RNA from 1 species
UUGUGGAGGAGGACGCCGAAGGUGGGGCUAAUGACUGGGGUGAAGUCGUAACAAGGUAGCCGUACCGGAAGGUGCGGCUGGAUCACCUCCUAACAGGGAGACAACAAAAUGUUUAAUAUUAUUAUUUUGUCACCUUAGGUCGAUCGGUAUCUCACGUUCUUAAUUUAUUAAGAAUUUCAUUUUCUAAGUUUUUCUAGGUCACACCCAUUAUUUUUCCUGGGCCAUUAGCUCAGGUGGUUAGAGCGCACCCCUGAUAAGGGUGAGGUCCCUGGUUCAAGUCCAGGAUGGCCCAUAUCUCUAUGUUGGGGGUAUAGCUCAGUUGGUAGAGCGCCUGCUUUGCAAGCAGGAUGUCAGCGGUUCGAGUCCGCUUACCUCCACUGAUUACCACCUCUUCCAUAACAGGUAGUAAAGGAAAUGUUUUGAGUUGUGAUCAAAUUCUGAAAGAAUCUAGCUUCCUAAUGAAAUCAUUAAGAUGCUGGACUCAUUGAAUUAAUUUCAUUGUUUUCAGAGAACCUUGACAACUGCAUAGAUUAUUUUUAAAGACAAUAAGCAUCUUUAAUGAUGCAGAUUUAUUAUUUGUGCGAAUGCAUUAAUAACAAUUCUAUUAAGCUGAUGCUUCAAUUUUGAAGUUAUUGGUCAAGCUACAA